rnacentral:sRNA from 1 species
GUUAUUUUCUUUUUAAAUCAGAGGGUCAGCUUUCAAUCAACAUUUUUUCUCCUUCUGGUUUCAGGUCUGGGUGGUUUCCAAUCAUGGAGCUACAUCAGUAGGUCUUUGGAAAAACUGUUCCUACAAUAGCUGCAAUGAGACCCUGUCAUAUGCCGGUGAAGAUGCCCUGAAGACAGUGCAGGCCUUCAUGAUUCUCUCUAUCAUCUUCUCUGUCAUCGCCCUCCUGGUCUUCGUGUUCCAGCUCUUCACCAUGGAGAAGGGAAACCGGUUCUUCCUCUCAGGGGCCACCACGCUGGUGUGCUGGCUGUGCAUUCUGGUGGGGGUGUCCAUCUACACUGAUCGUUAUGCGAAGUGCAGUGAAAACUUCCAAGGGUCGGAGUGUCACCAUGGCUAUUCCUACAUCCUGGCCUGGAUCUGCUUCUGCUUCAGCUUCAUCAUCGGCGUUCUCUAUCUGGUCCUGAGAAAGAAAUAAGGCUGGACGAGUUCAUGGGGAUCUGGGGGGUGGGGAGGAGGAAGCCAUUGAAUCUGGGAGGGAAGUGGAGGUUGCUGUACAGGAAAAACCAAGAUAGGGGAGGGGGGAGGGGGAAGGAAAGGGGGGA